CAACUAAAAAUGAGGUUACGUACGAAAUAUAAAAUUUUAAUCUUUGUUUUUAUUUAAAUAUUCUUUUUCUAUCCUUUUUAAUAACGAAGGAAAACUACAUGAACAUGUAUAUUUGCAAAAGGUCAAUUAUGUCACUUAGCAAUACUCUGUCUCGAUUGUCUUAUUAUUAAAUAAACACCAAAUAUGGAGAGGGAGCCCCAUCAAAGUGGGCAUGGAGAGCCAGAACCCUGUGAAGGUAAAGAGACGUAUGAAACCCAACAACUUAGUCCUAAUACUUUAAAGGUAGCAGCCGCAGAAUGUCUUAAUAGUUGGAUUGGGUAUCUACAAAUGUUAAAUACAAUGUGUGCAGCUG